GCCUGGGUGGCUCAGUGGUUGAGCGUCUGCCUUUGACGCAGAUCCUGAUCCUGGGGUCCUGGAAUCGAGUUCCACAUCGAGCU
rnacentral:tRNA from 1 species